UGGUGGCCCUAUCGAAGCUGUGCCUGUCUCUCCUGUGGCAGGUGUAGUCAAAAAGGUGCCCACAGUAACUUUUCCCUUGACGGUCGCUGUUCAGAUUGUCCUGUAACUGUCCAGCAACAUUUUCAGGAAAAUACAUAU
ensembl:snoRNA